GUUCCCUAGAGGUGGGAGUGACAGACUUGACUGUUGGGCUAGAAUGGGAAGGACCCGGAUGUGAGGGCUGGAAAACAGUGAAACGGCAGAGGAAGGUGCAGCAUGGCCUUGCAAGCAACAUCUGUAUAGAAAUAAACGGGACCAAAGAUGCAGUUUAUGUUAUUAUUCAGUCGCCAAGGGAAGCUGAGGCUUCAGAAGUGGUAUGUGCCGCUGUCUGACAAGGAAAAAAAGAAGAUCACCAGGGAACUUGUGCAGACAGUAUUAGCCCGCAAGCCGAAAAUGUGCAGCUUCCUGGAAUGGAGAGAUCUGAAGAUUGUCUACAAAAGAUAUGCUAGCCUCUACUUCUGCUGUGCCAUUGAAGAUCAAGAUAAUGAGCUGAUCACCUUGGAAAUAAUUCAUCGUUAUGUGGAGCUUUUGGACAAGUAUUUUGGCAGUGUUUGUGAACUUGAUAUAAUUUUUAAUUUUGAGAAAGCAUAUUUUAUUCUGGACGAAUUUUUGUUGGGAGGAGAAGUUCAGGAAACCUCAAAGAAAAAUGUUCUAAAAGCCAUUGAACAGGCGGAUCUGUUGCAGGAGACCCAGAACGAAGACUGGGGAGGUUAUUCAGAGGAUUCCUUAUGAUAGAGCACACUCGGAGGGCUUAGCCUCCCCGAACGACCGCCUAAACAGCUGGAAGCGGAGACACCACGGAGUGUUCUUGAAGAAAUUGGGUUAACAUAAACGUCCUGCCUUGUCCUGGACGUCUCGUCAUAUAAAUGUUUACUGCCUUCAUCUCAGUGUUCUCUUUAUAGUGUAAUAUGAUGUCUGUCAGUAUUACUGUACUGCUAAGCUGCUUUAGUUCAACCCUGAAGGAAACAAAUAUUAGUAAACGGUAUUUUUAUUUACAGACUCCAUAAAUAAAAUGGAAAGGGACUCCAAUAGUUAAGCAUGUCUGUGAUACAUUUCAGAGGAAACUAGUGAACUGUGAGCUCUUUGAAUUUCAGUUUUAUUUCAUGGUAAAAUGGAAAUUUUAUUGUGACAAAAUUAAAAUGAGAACAUUUUCUUAAAGGGCCAUGAUACCCACAUUUUUUCUUUCAUGAUUUAGAAAGAGAAUGCAUUUUUAGACAUCUUUCUAAUUUACUUCUAUUAUCUCAUUUGUUUUAUUCUCUUGAUAUUCUUUGCUGAAAAGCAUAUCUAGAUAUGCUCAGUAGCUGCUGAUUGGUUGCUGCACAUAGAAGUCUCAUGUGAUUGGCUCACCCAUGUGCAUUGCUUUUUCUUCAAACAAGGAUAUCUCAAACAGGAAGCAAAAUAAAAAAUAGAAGUAAAUUGUAAUGUUGUUUAACUUUGUAUGUUCUAUCUGAAUCAUGAAAGAAAGAUUUUGGGUGUAGUGGCCCUUUAAGCUUCACUGUCAGUUUGCAUUACCUUUUAGUUCCACAAUUGUAUUAAAGGGACAUAAAGGAGAGCAUUUUAUUAUUGCGCUUGCAAAGCAGUUAAACACAUAGCUGAAGUAAGCUCUGGUGCAGAAAUGCACAUCUGAUCCUUAGCUGAACAAGACCAGUAAUUGGUGGAAAUACGUAUAUGCCUCGCCUUAUUGGCCUAGCAGCUCUGAACUAGUAGUGCAUUCCUAAUACAGAGCUGGCUUUAACUAUGUGCUUAACCCAUUGGCAGUGUUUAAACUGAUAAUGAUGUUUUCAGCACAUAAGAGCAUUAUAUUAUUGCUCCUUUAUAUCCUUUUAUAUAUAUAUAUUUGACAACCAAAGAUCAUUAUUUAUUAAAGACAAUUGUUUUCAAUUUCUUUUUGACAGUAAAAGGGAUUCAGAUACUGUAUACCACUGGGAUUUCUUUUUUUCUAAUAAACCAAAGAAUUUGAUCAUCUACUUAGCAACCUUUAAUAUUUUAUUUAGGUUUUAGAUAUAACUGCUGUGAAAAUGGUUGCUACGUUAAGUGAAGAAAUAAGCUGAAAAGAAGAGGAUUCCAGAUUGAAACCACUAUUUUUAUUCAUGUUUUGACAUUUUAAGCAGCAGUCAAGGGAAAAAAAACUGAAACAUGAAAUUACUUUAUGUUCUGUUGUAACUAAGGAUUUUUUUUCUAGAUCUUAUGUUGACAGACUGAAAUAGGAUUAAUUUAUUUUCAAACCAACACUGCCAUAACAAUAUUGUUAAUGUACUUUUUAUACAACUGAAUAGUAAUUCUACAAGAGUCAAUCCAGAUACCUGGUUUUUGUUGUUUGUAAAACUUAUAAUGGCCACCCCUGUAGCCUGUGUGAGGAAGUCUGGGACCACAUGCAAGCAAGAGAUGAGCCACACGGCUUAUUAUCUGAAGCACAAUCACUUGACUUUCAUGUAUAUGAUGUGGGAGUCAAUGUCUAUAUAACCUGUAUAUAUACAGCUACAUUUUUGUGGAGCUGCAGGUGUGGAUCCUAUCAGCUAAUCAGCACUGGAUACUUCAGUAUAAGCUAUGCACAUACAAAUGAACAAAUGUUGCAUUUUGCUGUUCUUUCAAAAGCAUGAUAGAAUCUACUGUAUGUGAGCACAAUGUCCCUUUAAACGUUUUUUUCUAGCAGAUAAGAUAUGUUUGAUACAUAACCACUGCCCUUUCCUAUGAAUGAUAAAACAUUUAAUAUCCUGCUUUCCAUUAAUCUAAUAUUAAUUCAAAUUUUUAUUCUGAUAAAGGGAUGUAAAGUCAAAAUGAAAUGUACACGACUCAGAGCAUGCAUUUUAAUUUACUUAUAUUAUCAUAUUUGCUUUGUUGAAGAGUAAACUUAGGUAGGCUGAUAGGAGUUUAGGAGUGUGCACAAGUCUUUAGCAUGGAUAACAUUGUUGAAAACAUUGUUGCCAGAUGACUAAAGACAUGCACGCUCUUGAGCUAACCCAGGAUUACUCUUUAACAAGAGAACUAAGCAAAAUGCAUAACAGAAGUAAAUGGGAACGUUGCUUAUAAUUUAAUGCUCUUUCUAAUCCAUUUAAAUUUAAUAUUGACUUUACUUUCUCAUUAAGGUCCUAAUGAUAAAAGAUUCUCCUGCUUGGAGAGACAUUGUAGUGCAGACUUCACAGGGGCUGAACUCGCUAAAUGCUAAAAGAAAAAAGGCAGAACCCUUCAGCACUGAGAGACCUCUCACGAGAUUCUAGACAGACAGUUUUUUCUGUAUUUGUCUAAAGGGCAUUCCCUGCAUUUCUGUAUGUGAAGGAGAGAUAAGCCCAGUGCAAUAUAUAACAGCAUAACAGGAGAGUUGUGUUACACUUACACUUUGUGCUUUGUAUUUUAUAUUACUUUACACUUCAGAUUGGGUAUUUAUUACAUUGAAACUUUUAUAUUUUAAAUACAUUUAGAUUUAUAUCCAGCAGUUGAUGUUACCAAUUCUGAUAAUGUUUUGAAAGAUUCUGUUACUUUAACAAAUAUUUCUGUGUAUCUUUUACAAAUUAUAUUGAACUUUGUGUUUGCUCUAUUGUAAAAUAAACAUAGCUUCAGAAAGUGGAAGGCAGGAGGCAGUUCCCUAGGCUAAGGGCUAGAUUUAUUAAGCCCUUACGGCAGCAAGUUCUCACAAGAACUUGCUUGUCGCGAUUUAACAAGCAGCAGGCACCAGACCGCUGCUUCCCUAAACUCUUCGCCACCUCUAAACUGGCGAAAUUCAAUCUCCUCGAUCGAGUCAGACCGAGGAGAUUGACAGCUCCUGCCCACGCGUGAUUGGUUGUGCGCGGGCAGGGGGCGGGAUUGCACGCGAGCGCAAAAUUGCGCUCGUGUGCAAUGUUAAUUACCUAUGGGUAAUUUUGCCCCGCCACAGGCGAGCUGAGGCAUACAGGAGCGCGUAUACGUGCCCCUGUAUGCCUCAGCUAUGAUAAAUCUAGCCCUAAAUAGGGAAGUCCCCAGGGACUAACUGAAGCUCUCUCACAGGUCUUGUCAAAUGCUGUAAACAUUUUAAACAAGCUGCUCUCAUUGAUUUGUCUUGUUAGCUGUAUGCAGUGACGUUUGCUCAAUAUUCACAAUACACUUGUUUUACUGACAGAAAAGUAAUAUUUACAAAACUACUGGCAAAAACAAGUGAAAUUGUAAUGAAAACAUUUCAAUUUAAUUUGCAUUUGCUGCAAACAGGGACUUUAUAGCAGCCCAAGGUGUUCUCCAGUUUACUUCUCUCAUGCUUGUAAAAUUCUCAGCAUUUUUCUAUUAAAAAUAAAACUGAUUACUUAAGUUUCCCAGAGAGCCUCAUUACUUUCUAUGGAAGGCAUCUCUCAGUCCCUGUGAAGUCUGCACUAUAGCUGCCAGUUUUAUUUUUAAAAUAAAAAAUUACAUUUGUAAAAGAUGUUCAUAAAUAUACAAAGUAUGAGCCUAAUUUGUUAAAGUUACACAGAAACUGUGAAAGCAUAAUCAGAAUUUGUAAAAUCACAAUCCUAAAUACAGUGCUGUAUACAAAAUAAAAAGUGCAAAGUUUAAAUGAAUAAAAAAAACAAAGUGUGAAUGCAGCAUAACUCAUGUCAUACAGUACUAUAUUGCACUGGGCUUGUCUCUCAGUCACAUAAAAAAUGUAGGGAACACCCCCUGGAGAAGUAUAGCAAAAUCUGCCUUUUUAGAAUUUCACUAGGGAUCUCGCAGUGCUAAAGGGUCAUUUUAUAUCAACUUAUCUGAGUGGAGAGGUUUAUAUAGUCAGGCCCUAAAUAUGACUAUUGUCUUACUCUUUACAUGUGCUGUAAACAAAAACUUUUUAAUACAAGUUGAUCUAUCAACUCUGAUCAGAUCCUUUGUGGAAGUGGCAUUAAUAUCCUGUAGUAAAUGGCUACUGGUUUAUACUGAGUAGCCUUCUAAAAGUAGUCACAUGUUCAUUCUUUUGGUAGAUUUAUGGAGACAUGAUAUACCCAGACUUUCUAUUGUGCAUAUAAAGAACAGUAAGAAGUAGCACAUGAAAAGGAUUAAGCAAGAAUAGUUUAAAUUUAGAUUGAAAUUUGCAGAUAUUUCCACAGCUCAUACUAUUACCGAUAGAUGGCAUUCUGCUGUGUCAGUUCCAUCACAUAAUUCCUACAGCUCUAUUAGUUUCUAUUGGAUAACCUAUACUGCCAUGUCAGUGUAAGAGACAGGCUCCUUUCACUGGAGUGACAUUACUGUAUUAUUGUUCAGUUUCAGCACCAAAAGAGAGUAGAAAGCUUGAACUAUUGAUGUAACUUUAUUUAGUUCCAACUGGGAACUUUUCAAAUAAGAUUUUAUAUCCAAACUAUAUUUUAAUUUAACAAAGAAAAAAAUCUUAUGUGGUUAUAUGGAUGUCCUCAAUUAGGUUUGUGAAUCUUCUGUACCAAUAUUUCUGCUGAUUUUCUGUAAAUGUCCCUUUGUUAUUGAAAAGUUUACUUUUCCUGUUCCAUGUUGCUAAGUAACUAAAAUGUUCUAUCACCAACAUUUUGUCAAAGGUUCACGGAAUGGGACACAUUUUUGCUUUGUCUUUGAAGUGGAUUACAAGUACUUGUGAAUGUAUUAUGAUCAUAAUCAUUUGAAUGGUUUGAUAAACACAAACUUUUUCAGUUGCUUGGCUGUAUCAUUGAAAGUGUGCUGUUCUACUUGACAUAUUGCAACCUUAGAAAGCCCAAAAACCAUUUUGUUAUAGAGCAAAACUGAACCAACUUGGGCACAUUGAAAGAUGCAAGCCUAGAAGCCAUAUUCUGAACAGCAUAAGUGCAUACACCAGCAAUAAUAACAACCUCUAGGAAAAACAGUCCUGUCUUAAAGGGAUACUAAACCCAAUUUUUUUCUUUAAUGAUUCAGAUAGAAAGUUGCUUAAAAUUGCAUGCUCUAAUUUACUCCUAUUAUCAAUUUUUCCUUGUUCUCUUGCUCUCUUUAUUUCAAGCAGGAAUGUAAGGUUUAGGAGCCAGCCCAUUUUAGGUUCAGCACUCUAGAUAGCAAUUGCUAAUUGGUGCUACAUUCAGCAAACCAAUAAGCAAGCGUAACCCAGGUUCUGAACCAAAAAUGGGCCGUCCCCUAAGCUUUUACAUUCCUGCUUUAUAAAUAAAGAUAGCAAGAGAACAAAAAAAAAAUAUAAUAGGAGUAAAUUAGAAAGUUUCUUCAAAUGGCAUGCUCUAUCCGAAUCCUGAAAGAAAAUAUUUGGGAUUAGGACCCGUAAUCAUUUUACUUGUUUUUGAAGUGAUUUGCAAAAAACAAGACUAUGAUGCGAACAGUGAAUAAAAAAAAUACCGGAACAUAUGAUGACUUCUCUUGCCAGAAAAUAGUGCAAAGGUUAAACGGUGGAAAUGUUUUCAAUAGGUUAUAUUAGGUCAGUAGCACCUAGUAUGAUAAUUCCUGUUAAACACACUAAAUAUAAUAAUUUUUUUGUAUAAUUAUCAAGCAGAUUUGCUAAAACCUAUUUGACAUUAAAAGUAAAAAUAUAAACCACUAUUAAAUUUGCAACGGUUAGGUCUUUGCAGUACAUUAUGUAUCGGUAACAUGCUUCCUGCAGCAGACACAGUAAACUUGAGAUACUCCUACUUUAGUUAUUGCGUAGAACUCUAUAAUACAAUACUUCACUAUCGGAAAUAAAAGGCACAAUAAUAAGCAUUAUAUAUCAUUAGCAAUCUUAUCUACCCUUGUCAACAUAAGUGGUCAUAUCCAAACAUUUUGUGAGUACAGCAGUGCUUUGUGUGAAUCUUUUAUUUUGAAAACCUUUUAUUAGUUUGGAUUUUGUUUUUAUCUGUGUGUGCUUUGCUGGACUAAGCUUUGUUGUACUUGUGACUUAGUGUGCUCAUUGUCUGUUACAUCAAUUCAUUUAUAAUAAAGGUCAGUUUUUACUCA